UGCAGUCGAGCGGAUGAAGGGAGCUUGCUCCUGGAUUCAGCGGCGGACGGGUGAGCAAUGCCUAGGAAUCUGCCUGGUAGUGGGGGAUAACGUCCGGAAACGGGCGCUAAUACCGCAUACGUCCUGAGGGAGAAAGUGGGGGAUCUUCGGACCUCACGCUAUCAGAUGAGCCUAGGUCGGAUUAGCUAGUUGGUGGGGUAAAGGCCUACCAAGGCGACGAUCCGUAACUGGUCUGAGAGGAUGAUCAGUCACACUGGAACUGAGACACGGUCCAGACUCCUACGGGAGGCAGCAGUGGGGAAUAUUGGACAAUGGGCGAAAGCCUGAUCCAGCCAUGCCGCGUGUGUGAAGAAGGUCUUCGGAUUGUAAAGCACUUUAAGUUGGGAGGAAGGGCAGUAAGUUAAUACCUUGCUGUUUUGACGUUACCAACAGAAUAAGCACCGGCUAACUUCGUGCCAGCAGCCGCGGUAAUACGAAGGGUGCAAGCGUUAAUCGGAAUUACUGGGCGUAAAGCGCGCGUAGGUGGUUCAGCAAGUUGGAUGUGAAAUCCCCGGGCUCAACCUGGGAACUGCAUCCAAAACUACUGAGCUAGAGUACGGUAGAGGGUGGUGGAAUUUCCUGUGUAGCGGUGAAAUGCGUAGAUAUAGGAAGGAACACCAGUGGCGAACGCGACCACCUG
rnacentral:rRNA from 1 species